rnacentral:lncRNA from 10 species
AGAGAACAGAGUUUAAAAUCUAUUCUAAUGUUCUGCUGCUCUGUGGCCUUGAGGAGCUUCUUCCUGUCCUCUCAUCUCUUCACCUUGUUCUGGGGUAAAUCAUCUCUGGACCGCCUUACCUGCUGAGCAGCUCACUGGAGACCACACCGUGGAGGCACACCACACAGAACAGCCAAACUCCCCAGGCCACAACCAGGCUACACCUCCUGAAAGACAACUGGAGAACCAAAGAGCAUCAGUCUUUGUGGCCUCCCUGUACCAUCUCCUCCUACCAUCAGAGCAUACCAGAGCCUCCAAACUCUUCUUGGGUAGUGUCAGAACCUGCAACGGUCAUGUUAAUUCAGUAAAAAUGUCUGUGU